UAGAGCGUGGACGAGGGGCUGCUGCUCAAUGAAUGGGUAUGUGUUUUUCAAAUUUUUCCCCUCCCGAUUUAGGUAUAUGGAUUGGAAGCAUUUUAUCAGAGCAUAGUACUAUUUUUUGAAUUUUUGGAGCUCUUGCGUGUUUGGGAAAGUUCACUUAUUUUUGGAUAUAUUAAAUUUUUGGAGCUCUCCAUUAGUAAAUGUUAGGAGCUCUCGUUAUUGUGGGGUUUCCGAUUUUUCCAUGGAUGAGAAGGGUAUUAAAGCUCUCGUUCACAUCCUUGACCUGGUAUUCUUCUAUGUUCCUUUCUCUGUUCUUCUCAUGUUUUAGCUUUGAUCAUAAGCCCUUUACAUCUAUCUUUCUCUGUGGUUCUGUGUUGAUUGCAUACGUUUAGGCAAGUAUGUAUGUAGGGUUUCCGUUUUUGUUGUUUUGCUGAUUUCCUAAUUUAUUUAGGUAGCCAUGAAUUACGGUGGCUUUGGAAAUGUCUAGAAUUUCUUUAGUUUGGAUAACCAGGGAAUUAAACAUUUUUUUUUUCUGUUUUUAAAUUAAAGUUUCGGAUUCAGCAAUUCUCGUUAUUGAUAUGAGGAAGGUUGAUUUGAUGAUGAUAUGGGAAAGGUUUGUUUGAUGAUGGCAUUAAGCUCCCUAACUCUGUUUCAAGCCUAUGCAUUUUUCUUUGGAUCCAGUGGUGUAUGUAGGAGUAUACUGCGAAUUAUAAAUCCCCAUUUGCUAAUGUCCUAAUAUCUUCAAGAAAGGGAAAACAUACCUGCUUUGGUAAUUAAUUUUCCUCUCACCUCAAGUUAGUAGAAGCUCUCGAGUAUGAAAAUGUUACUCCUGGACAGGAUAUUGAUGAAAUAUUAGACUUCAUGUCCAAAGACAUGCAUCUUCUUCAUCUGUAAAUGGUUUAUGGAUGGCCCAAGAUCAACAUAGAAAAUACUCAAAUCCAAACAUCUCUUGUUUUUUUUGUUUAUUAAAGUUUCAUUGUUGCAUUACUCUCUAUAUUUUGUGCAAUGACACCACUGACUCUCUAUAUUUUGUUCAUCUUCAUGGUUCCAUGAGUUGUCUGCAAUGACACCAAUGACACCACUAACUCUCUAUAUUCUGUUUCAAGGAUCGUCCAAAUACCAAAGUAUGAUGAUUUUCCAGUCAUCCGCCGAUGGCAAGGUUUUUGUUCUCGAUGGAGCACUACAAUUUACAGAGAAGGAUGAAUGUUCUUACCAAGAAAUGAUGACCCACCUCCCACUUUGCUCUAUUCCUAAUCCAAACAAGGUACUUGAUC